GAAUCAUUCACAAUGGGGGAAACCCUGAUGGUGCAACGCCGCGUGGAGGAUGACGGCCCUCGGGUUGUAAACUCCUGUCAUCUGGGAGUAAGCCUUGUGCGUUAAUAGCGUGCAAGGUUGAUAGUAACAGGAGAGGAAGGGACGGCUCACUUCGUGCCAGCAGCCGCGGUAAUACGAAGGUCCCAAGCGUUGUUCGGAAUCACUGGGCGUAAAGCGUGCGUAGGCGGCGCGGUAAGUCAGAUGUGAAAUCUUUGGGCUCAACCCGGAAACUGCAUCCGAUACUACCGUGCUGGAGUAAUGGAGAGGUAGCUGGAAUUCUCGGUGUAGCAGUGAAAUGCGUAGAUAUCGAGAGGAACACUCGUGGCGAAGGCGAGCUACUGGACAUUUACUGACGCUGAGGCACGAAGGCCAGGGGAGCGAAAGGG
rnacentral:rRNA from 1 species